rnacentral:rRNA from 1 species
UGAUGCAGCAACGCCGCGUGCGGGAUGACGGCCUUCGGGUUGUAAACCGCUUUUAGUAGGGAAGAAGGGCUUCGGCUUGACGGUACCUGCAGAAAAAGGACCGGCUAACUACGUGCCAGCAGCCGCGGUAAUACGUAGGGUCCGAGCGUUGUCCGGAAUUAUUGGGCGUAAAGAGCUCGUAGGCGGUUUGUCGCGUCUGCUGUGAAAUCUGGAGGCUCAACCUCCAGCCUGCAGUGGGUACGGGCAGACUAGAGUGCGGUAGGGGAGAAUGGAAUUCCUGGUGUAGCGGUGGAAUGCGCAGAUAUCAGGAGGAACACCGAUGGCGAAGGCAGUUCUCUGGGCCGUAACUGACGCUGAGGAGCGAAAGCGUGGGGAGCGAACAGGAUUAGAUACCCUGGUAGUCCACGCCGUAAACGUUGGGCGCUAGAUGUGGGGACCUUUCCACGGUUUCCGUGUCGUAGCUAACGCAUUAAGCGCCCCGCCUGGGGAGUACGGCCGCAAGGCUAAAACUCAAAGGAAUUGACGGGGGCCCGCACAAGCGGCGGAGCAUGCGGAUUAAUUCGAUGCAACGCGAAGAACCUUACCAAGGCUUGACAUAACCGAGAACGCCGCAGAAAUGUGGAACUCUUUGGACACUCGGUUACAGGUGGUGCAUGGUUGUCGUCAGCUCGUGUCGUGAGAUGUUGGGUUAAGUCCCGCAACGAGCGCAACCCUCGUCGCAUGUUGCCAGCACGUAAUGGUGGGAACUCAUGUGAGACUGCCGGGGUCAACUCGGAGGAAGGUGGGGAUGACGUCAAAUCAUCAUGCCCCUUAUGUCUUGGGCUUCACGCAUGCUACAAUGGCCGGUACAAAGGGCUGCGAUGUCGUAAGGCGGAGCGAAUCCCAAAAAGCCGGUCUCAGUUCGGAUUGAGGUCUGCAACUCGACCUCAUGAAGUCGGAGUCGCUAGUAAUCGCAGAUCAGCAACGCUGCGGUGAAUACGUUCCCGGGCCUUGUACACACCGCCCGUCAAGUCAUGAAAGUCG